rnacentral:rRNA from 1 species
CACGUAGGGCGCAAGCGUUGUCCGGAAUUAUUGGGCGUAAAGAGCUCGUAGGUGGUUUGUUACGUCUGCUGUGAAAACCUAGGGCUUAACCCUGGGCUUGCAGUAGAUACGGGCAGACUAGAGGUAGGUAGGGGAGAAUGGAAUUCCUGGUGUAGCGGUGAAAUGCGCAGAUAUCAGGAGGAACACCGGUGGCGAAGGCGGUUCUCUGGGCCUUACCUGACACUGAGGAGCGAAAGCGUGGGGAGCGAACAGG